CCUUCUCCCACCUACUCUCCACACCUCUCUGCCAUAUCUCAAUUAUAUCAAAUCAUGGAGACUUUACUCAUACCAAAGAGACUUUACUCAUUCUACACAAAAGACAUGUUGCAUUUUUCUCAUCUGCAUUCAAGAAGGCAAGAACGCACAAAAGAAGCCACCAAGCACCAAGCACCAACCAUCAUUAACCCUCAAGGCUUCGAGCAUCAGAAGGAUUAGCACUGCUAUUCCGAUUCAGAGAUAACGUUAAACGACAGGCAUUGCCUAUACAGGUUGAGCAGUUGAUGGAAUGGAAUGAUGUUGAGCGAGUGUUCCUGUGACAUUUCAAGAAAUGUAACCUUGAGUAUACAUCUUCAUAUGUAUAUCUCACACGUUUUCUGCUGCAAAACAC